rnacentral:lncRNA from 1 species
GCGCUUGGUGCAGGGGGCUUCAAAGGGAGGGAGGCCCCCAACUCCUUCUCAGGCACCCGCGCCCUCCGAGGGGACCCGGUCUUCGCUCCGCUGCCCUUGGCCCCCCUUCCGCCUGGAUUUCGGGGAGGGACGUUUCUCUACCCGCCUGCCCGCCCCCCGGCCCGAGCGGGGGCUUCCUCCCGGCCCCGCGCCUUGGCCGCCCAGCCCCGCCGGCUCCGGUGAGCAGGCGCCGUCCUCUGUGACCUCAUCGGGGUGCCGAGCGCCAACUGCCCGGCAACCGGAGCCGGAGCCAGAGCUGCAGAGCUGCUUCCAGAGGCGGGCGGGCAGACAGGCACGCAGCUCCCGGCAGCCCCCACGCCCCUCUCGCUGCCCAGGCAGGUGCUGCUCGCGAGGAGCCCGCCAGCCAGCCAGCGCGUCCCCCCUUGAGCGGCGCGGCCGGGUCUUCCGGCUCCCGGAAAAGAGAAGAUCCAGCCCCGAGGGCUCUCGGCCGGGACAUCCGCCGGACACCGGACGCAACGGGACGCGGGAGGACAGAANCACCAGCCAUGGAUCACAGGGUCCCCAUGUAUCCCAACUUCCCAGCAGAGCAUCGGAGCUCCGCGAGCGAGAACAUGGUCUGCGGAGACGAGGAGCUGGACGAGGAGACGGCGAACUUCAUCUCGGCCCUGUANGCGGCCUUAGGCCCUCUCCUGCCGGAAGUGACCAAGCUCCAAGGCCACCAGGACCCGCCUGCCCACCUGAUGGUUGACAUGAAGGCCAAGCUGCGGGAGCUGGGCUCCAGUGUUUCGGAUGCCAGGAAGAAGCUCCUGCGCUACAACAUUUACCUGAAGAAGAAGCUUGCCAAAGCUGUACAGGAGAGGCGGGUCCUGAGGGAACAGCACAUGACCGCGCAAAGCGGCCCAGAGCAGCCCUGCCCAGCCCAUCUGCCAAGGGGACUCCGGAUGGACAUGGACCCCGGGAAACUCCCCAUGGGGAUGGAGAAGAACAUCCAGGAGAUUUCGGCACCGGACUUUGGAAAAAUGAAGCCCCUGGACAGAAUUCAUCGGCGGAGUGACUCCAUGGAUGAGCGCCCCCGGUCCCCCAUGACCCCCCUGGGAAUACUGCAGAAAACUGCUUGCAUGCCUCCGCAUCCCCCCCUUUGAAAGGCACUCCCUGCAGUCAUCGGAGAAGGCAGCCCAGCUCACCACCCCAACAGCUCUCCUGCUUCCUGGUCCCCCCCCCCCAGCGCCACCAUGGAAGCAAGCGGCUUCCAGGUAGCUCCCAUUAAAGACACCUGAUGCCUCAACUAGUUCCAAGGGCAGCCGAGAGUUUUCAUUUUGACCUGCCGCGUCCUGCAUGCUCACAGCCAAACGUGUCACAACAGGCAAGGGCCUGUUUCCAAAGGGGCCCCCAGGGCAAGGCAUGCUGGUUUGUAGAUGCCUCAGCUGCACCCGUUUGGGGGUGCAGGCCUCUUACCCCAACAAAUCAUCCACAUCACUAUCAAUUUUGCCAUCAGCACCACACAACUACAUACUAGAACAUAUGCCACUGUGGAUGUCUCUGGGGGAGGUGAGGCGGAGUCCAUUGGCUGACCACUAACUUGGCUAUCACGAUAAUGGACCCCACACACAGAGGCUCCCCCCUCUUCAUGGACCUCUCCCUGCUUUUAGGCUACUCUGAAAUUGCACAAUUGCACAAAAGUGCAACUGCAAAGGAGCAGAAAUUGCAACCUAUCCUUUACGAAACUUUAUUGUGUGGCUAAUGUGGAACUGAAGUUCUGCUUGGGUGGAUACAGGCUGGAGGGGAGAAGGAGCAAACAGUGAAUGACCAGUAACGCCGCCAAGGAAUCCAUGUUCUGAGGCGGCAGCAGGGACAUAUNGAGGGCGGAACAUGUCUUGCCCGCCCUUGUGAAGUCAAGAUUAGAAUGUUGGGACCACAUCCAAUCGCUGACUGCACAGGGAGGGGAACUGGGGGGGGGUGGAGAGAGAGAAAGGAGCGGUUUCUCCAUGCCAAGCAGGGGAAAAAUGAGGUGUGAGAAGGAGAAAUUCGAAUUGAGUCCGCAUUGUAAUGCAAAUGUGUGAACGACCGAAACAUGUACUCAGUCCUCGUUCUCCUCCAAUAUGGAUUAAAUUUACAAUGUGGGACUGCGCCCUAUGAUACAAC